UGAAAACCAUGAAAAUAUCCUUUGAAAUGACAGAGAAAAAAUAUAGAGAAAUGGGGAAAAUAAGAUGGGGGUUUCCAAGAGAGAAAAGUCUCUGUAGAAAAGAGCUUUGACUCUCUCUUCCAAUGGUGAAUUUAGUUUUCACACCUUCAUGAACAACUUUCUUCUCAUAUUCAAAUUCUUCUCUUAAUUCCACAACUACCCUCCAAUUCUUAUCUCCAACAACAACAACAAAAAAGGCAACAUUUUACUUUUCUGCAGUAUUUGAUAUUUUGAAAUUGUUAUGGGAAAUUGCUGUGGGACACCUGGUAAUUCUUCUGAAAAUAAGAAGAAGAACAAACCAAACCCUUUUGCUCUUGAUUAUGGUGCAACUCAAGCAUCUGGAGGUGAUGGAAACAAGCUUGUUGUGUUGAAAGAUCCAACAGGACACAAUAUUCAAGAAAAAUAUGAUCUUGGUUGUGAGCUAGGAAGAGGAGAAUUUGGGGUUACAUAUUUAUGUACUGAUGUUGAUACAGGGGACAAAUAUGCUUGCAAAUCGAUAUCGAAGAACAAACUUAGGACUGCUGUAGAUAUCGAUGAUGUUAGGAGAGAAGUUGAGAUCAUGAAGCAUUUGCCUAAACAUCCUAAUAUUGUGACCUUGAAGGACACUUAUGAGGAUGAUAAUGCAGUGCAUAUUGUGAUGGAACUUUGUGAGGGGGGUGAGUUGUUUGAUAGGAUUGUUGCUAGGGGACACUAUACGGAGAGAGCAGCUGCGGUUAUUAUGAAGACUAUAGUAGAAGUUGUUCAGAUGUGUCAUAUGCAUGGAGUAAUGCAUCGUGAUCUCAAACCUGAGAACUUUCUCUUUGGUAACAAGAAAGAAGCUGCUCCUCUGAAGGCUAUUGACUUUGGAUUAUCAGUGUUCUUUAAACCUGGGGAGCAGUUUAACGAGAUAGUGGGAAGUCCUUAUUACAUGGCUCCAGAGGUCCUAAAACGCAAUUAUGGCCCAGAGGUUGACGUCUGGAGUGCUGGAGUUAUCCUUUAUAUUCUUCUUUGUGGUGUUCCACCUUUCUGGGCAGAGACUGAACAAGGAGUAGCCCAAGCAAUUAUUCGCUCUGUGGUUGAUUUCAAGAGAGAUCCAUGGCCUAAGGUUUCUGAUAAUGCAAAGGAUCUUGUAAAGAAGAUGCUUGAUCCAGAUCCAACUCGACGGCUCACAGCUCAGCAGGUUCUUGAGCAUACCUGGUUACAAAUAUAAAGAAAGCACCAAAUGUCUCAUUGGGUGAGACUGUGAAAGCAAGGCUUAAACAAUUUUCAGUAAUGAACAAGCUCAAGAAAAGAGCUCUAAUGAUUAUGGCCGAGUUUUUAUCAGCGGAAGAAGUGGCUGGAAUGAAGGAAGCAUUUGAUAUGAUGGAUACAGGAAAGAAAGACAAGAUUAACCUUGGAGAACUUAAAAAUGGUCUGCAAAAGCUGGGCCAUCAGAUCCCUGAUGCUGAUCUUCAGAUUCUUAUGGAAGCUGCGGAUGUUGAUGGAGAUGGAAGCUUAAAUUACGGGGAGUUUGUCGCUGUAUCUGUUCAUCUUAGAAAGAUAGCAAAUGAUGAGCACCUGCACAAAGCAUUUUCAGUUUUCGACAGAAAUCAGAGUGGUUACAUAGAAAUUGAGGAGCUGCGCAGUGCCUUAAGUGGUGAGGAUGGUGGCAACAGUGAGGAAGUCAUCAAUGCCAUUAUGCAUGAUGUUGACACUGACAAGGAUGGUCGCAUUAGUUACGAGGAAUUUGCUGUGAUGAUGAAGGCUGGUACGGAUUGGAGAAAAGCAUCGAGACAGUAUUCUCGUGAACGAUUCAACAGUCUCAGCUUAAAAUUGAUGAGAGAUGGCUCGAUACAAGUCGGAAAGGAGGAAGGUAGAUGAUCAAAUGCAGAAGAAAAAGAAAUGUCAAAAAAGGAAAAAAGAAACUCUUCUCUUUGCUGUGCACUUCAAUUUUUUUGGCUUCCUCCCCUUUGAGCUCUAUAGGAUUGAGGUGUGAGGUCUGCAACCUGUUACAUCCUAGGCAUCUAACAAAGAAUUUCUGAGGUCUUUUACCUUGUUGUAAAAUGUAAUUACAUGUAUUGGUUAUAAGCUCAUUCUUAUUA